GGGUUCUACUGUUGGUCGGGCUUUGUCUGUACUGGCGUGUAGAAUUUCUACCUUCUGGGAACCAUCAUGUUAUUAAUUUAACGUGGUGGGAAACCAGGACCUUUACCUUGAAAAAAUUAGAGUGUUCAAAGCAGGCUUAUGUCUGAAUACAUUAGCAAGAAAUAAUAGAAUAGGACGGUGGUCCUGUUUUGUUGGUUUCUGAAUCACCGUA
rnacentral:rRNA from 1 species